rnacentral:tRNA from 1 species
GAUGAUGUAGUUUAAUGGUAGAGCGUGGGAAUCAUAAUCCUAAUGUUGUAGGUUCAAAUCCUACCAUCAUU